AUGGCUGCUGCCAUGAGCUUUUCCCACCAAAUACACAUCUUCAUGCUCCUCUGCUACUUGAUGUGGUCUCUGCACCUACCUCGUGCCACUGCUUGGUUUUCUUUCACAUACAACUUCAACCAUCCGCAUGGCUACAACGCCCAAGACUUCAGUUACCAGGGCGACGCAUACUUCAACACCGUGUCUCAGGCAAUCCAGCUGACAAGAGCCGGUGGGAGUCCGAACAUCCGGAACAGUGUAGGCCGGGCGCUGUUGGUGCAGCCCGUGCCGCUGUGGGAUACCAUCACCGGCGAGCUCACCCAAUUCAACACCUCCUUCACCUUCCGAAUCAAUGUAAGCAGUGAGAUCACGGGCCAGGGCUUUGCUUUCUUUAUCGGGAGCUAUCCUUGGACGAGCAUGUCCGAUCCCCUUGAAAACGGCCAAAACCUAGGCCUUUUCAAGGGAAACCUCAGCACGGUUGCCACCGGCGACAAACAAAUCGUGGCGGUCGAGUUUGAUACGUUCUUCAACGUUGGCGUUGACACCAGUGGCAGCCACAUGGGCAUUGACGUCAACUCCAUCGUCUCCAAGGCGUACACCAACGUGACUGUGCCUGGCAAGAACCUAACGUCCGGCCUCCCGAUGACUUGUAACAUCACCUACAGCAACGAAACACAAACUCUAGCAGCUAUUCUCAAGAUCGGCGACGCGACAUACAGUGUCAACACUAGUGUUGACCUGAGGCUCAUGCCUAGUGUGGUGACCAUUGGCUUCUCCGGUGCUACCGGCGCGGCAGACGAGUUAUAUCAAAUAAUGUCCUGGAAAUUUCGCUCCACCUUCAACCCGCAUGCACGGAAGAGCUAUGAGAGUCCCCCUCCUGCACCAAAGAUCCUGCUAAUAGAGGUAAUAACCGGACCAAUUAUUGGAGUUAUUGCAAUUGUGUGCAUCUUUGUUGGUGUCCGUCGAUGGCAACUAUGCACGAGAAAGAAGCGUUACAGAUCUCUCGCAGGGGGCAUUGGACAUAUUGGUUAUUGUAAGUUGGCGCUUGCAGCCAACAAAUUCGCACAGGAAAACAAGCUAGGGCAAGGAGGCUCUGCCUCUGUUUAUCGGGGCGAACUGGCAAAUCCAAGUAGAGCAGUGGCAAUAAAGAGAUUCAAGCCGGCAACAUCUAGCGAGGGGAGGAAGGCGUUCGAGGACGAACUCAGGAUUGCCAGUCGCCUCAGGCAUAGGAAUCUUGUCGAAUUGAUAGGUUGGUGCUAUUAUGGCCAGAGAAACUUGGUUGAGUUUAUAUGCUGGUGGCGGGACGAUAGGUAUACACGUCUCUUCCUUGUGUACGAGCUUUUACCGCAAGGUAGCCUCGAUCAACACUUACACGAGGGCAAGAGUUGGUUGCCAUGGUCCAAGAGGUACGAUAUCAUCCUGGACCUAGGAUCUGCACUGCAAUACCUCCAUGUAGAUUGCGAGCAACACAAGCAAUGUGUCGUACAUGGUGAUAUCAAAUCAAGCAACAUGCUGCUUGACCCUUCGUAUGGUGCCAAGUUAGGUGACUUUGGAUUGGCAAGGUCUGUUCACCAAGGAACUGGGGCACAUACCACCGACGUUGUCCAGGGCACUUAUGGAUAUAUAGACCCUGUGUUUGUCAACACGAGCCAACGAAAUAGGCAGUCAGACAUCUACAGUUUCGGCAUUGUCCUACUAGAGAUGGUCUCUGGAAGGGACCCUACGGUGCGUCUCAAUGAUAGGCCUCCAUUGACAUCAUGGGUAAAGAGUUUGUACCAUGGGAAUGCACUCCUCGAGGCCGCAGAUGUCAGGCUGAUAGGUGGCGAGUCCAGUGUUGGGCGACAACAGAUGAAGCGUGCACUACUAGUUGGGCUCUUGUGCGUGCACCAGGAUCCGAGCUGCCGGCCGUCCAUCAUCCACACCAUGGAUGCUCUGCGAUCGGAGAGGCUGGAAUUGGACAUCACUCCCCUAGCGCCAAUGAUACCACUCUUGAUGCCAUAG
rnacentral:rRNA from 1 species